rnacentral:lncRNA from 1 species
GGCAUACAUAGGAAAAUACUCUAAGCACCUGUUGCCGUCAAAACUUGAUUUGGAGCCGAUAACAAUUUGGUGAUAUUGCAGGCAAGUCUGCUCUCGGAAGGAGAGCUCCGAUCUGUAUAUGGAAAAAAGCAAGAAGAUCGAAGAUUGUCCAUCCACGAUCUCUUCUAUGCUUAAAACAGAUAGAGCUCUGAGAAAUGAGGAGUAGAUAAAGGCUUGAAGGGCAGACUAGU